UCCUAUCCAGAAGGCAGAACGCACUCCCUC
rnacentral:piRNA from 1 species